GGUCCACCCGAUUCUAUCAUUAUUAUCAUAAAGGUUUGUUAAUCAUGGGGCAUGAUUUGCGAAUACGUUCGGUUGAUCAGUGCCUUCCCAUGGACUGAGGCCGUCUGAUUAGCGAAGAGUUCGCGCUGGGGGUAAUCAGGAGUCGGGGUCAACAACCCGUGAUGCUGACCCAACAUGGCGGCGCCCACAGAUCGGACAGAAGGUGUGUGGCGGUCGGCGAUAUGAGCCUGGAAACUCCUUUCCAAGCAUAUUCAUUCCACGUAACACGUUCAACAGGUGCUGAUGAUACUCAACCCAGUCAGGCCACCAGUGUGUUAUCUGUACACAUGGGAUGGCAGCAGACGAGAAGCUGAUUAUGCAGAAAUGGAUUAACCUGUUUCUGCAUGGAGGAGUCAUCCAUGAGCACCAACUAAGUCCCGGUAGUAAUUAAGAAAAAUGCAGUGAGGUACAGUCUGUACUGUGGAAAAGUUAAGCAACUGGUAGAAGUGUAUAUAGAUUAAAAAUAUGCAGUGUGCUGUGUUUGUAAUUGUUACAUUGCCAUUGAUACAUCUGAUUCAGAUGCUUUUGGAAUCUUUGGAUUGAAGAUGUGAUAGAAAAUGUUGCAGCUAAUACCUAAUGUAUCACCAUUAAUGCAAUGUUGUGACAAACCAUUUUGCGUGUCAAUUACAGUAACUUGCAUUAUAUAUUCCAUAACUAUAUAUGCUUAACUUGCAUUAUAUAUUCCAUAACUAUAUAUGCUUUCAGUAACUGUAAUUGUAAGCAUGACUGAUUGAAAAGGAGCAGUGACUUUCUGAUGUUCUGUGUUUUACCAUAUAUUCCAUAUAUUGAACAGCCUUAGAAUGUAUUAAAGGUAACUAUAGGGAAGGAUAGAAUCAUUAUACUAUUUAUGGAUGUGUGUUUCAGAUGUUCUGUCAAAAAUAGGUAUAUGAGCAGUUCCUGGUGAAUAGAUUUUAAAUCACAGAAUUUCAUGUUUAUAGUGCAGUACGUGCUUUUCACCAUAACCUGUACACACAUGUAUGAGGUCACUCUCAAUGUAAGACAUUGUAUGUGUUGAGACCUAGUGUGAGUCUUGCUAAGCAAUACUGCCACUCAAGGACAUGAUGAUAGGGGUAACAAGAACAGGGAAUUGAUGGUUAAGAAGCUUUUAUUUUUCUUUUGUUUUGUGUGAAUAUAAUCUGAAUAAUUAAGAUUUAUCUAUUUUUCCAUAUCAGUUUAUUAUGUAACUGUAUGAAUUUUCCUUCGUGGCGAAUUAUAUAUACAAAACAUACAGUAAGUGCAAAGACAUGCAAGGAUUAUAUCCAAAUGUAUGAAAAGUGUUGGCCUUUCUUUUCCAAGUAUUGGAUCCCCUAAAUUUGUCAAGCUUUACUUUGCAGUCAAGUCAUCAUGAAAUAAACAGUGGUCUUGAUAAACACAGUGAGUCAUCUGAGCUUUAUGAGUCAAUGGUUUAAGGGCAGGUAAGCAGUCACCAAUAUUCCUUAUUUAAGGAUGAAUAAGAUUGUUUUAACUUACCAUGGUGAUGUAAGGACUCGAAAACAAAUCCACCAUAUGCACAGUCUUGAAGUUGUCAUGUUGUCAAGUGACACCGAAUCUAAUGACAUUGCAAAUUUCUUUCAAGUUUUGUUUUUAAUAUGAUACAUGUAUCUCUUCUAUUAAACAAAAUGUUUGGCUAGCACA